UACAGAGGUCUCAAGCGUUGUUCGGAUUCAUUGGGCGUAAAGGGUGCGUAGGCGGCGCGGUAAGUCGGAUGUGAAAUCUCGGAGCUUAACUCCGAAACUGCAUUCGAUACUGCCGUGCUUGAGGACUGGAGAGGAGACUGGAAUUUACGGUGUAGCGGUGAAAUGCGUAGAUAUCGCAAGGAAGACCAGUGGCGAAGGCGGGUCUCUGGACAGUUCCUGACGCUGAGGCACGAAGGCCAGGGGAGCAAACGGG
rnacentral:rRNA from 1 species